GACGAACGCUGGCGGCGUGCCUAAUACAUGCAAGUUGAGCGCUGAAGGUUGGUACUUGUACCGACUGGAUGAGCAGCGAACGGGUGAGUAACGCGUGGGGAAUCUGCCUUUGAGCGGGGGACAACAUUUGGAAACGAAUGCUAAUACCGCAUAAAAACUUUAAACACAAGUUUUAAGUUUGAAAGAUGCAAUUGCAUCACUCAAAGAUGAUCCCGCGUUGUAUUAGCUAGUUGGUGAGGUAAAGGCUCACCAAGGCGAUGAUACAUAGCCGACCUGAGAGGGUGAUCGGCCACAUUGGGACUGAGACACGGCCCAAACUCCUACGGGAGGCAGCAGUAGGGAAUCUUCGGCAAUGGACGAAAGUCUGACCGAGCAACGCCGCGUGAGUGAAGAAUGGUUUCGGAUCGUAAAACUCUGUUGGUAGAGAAGAACGUUGGUGAGAGUGGAAAGCUCAUCAAGUGACGGUAACUACCCAGAAAGGGACGGCUAACUACGUG
rnacentral:rRNA from 1 species